rnacentral:rRNA from 1 species
AAUGUAGCAAUACAUGGCGUACUGCUCAGUAACACGUGGACAACCUACCCUCAGGACAGGUAUAAACCCGGGAAACUGGGUAUAAUCCCUGAUAGUCCUCGAACGCUGGAAUGCAUCGAGGACGAAAGCUCCGGCGCCUGAGGAUGGGUCUGCGGCCUGUCAGGUAGUAGUGGGUGUAACGUACCUACUAGCCUACGACGGAUACGGGUUGUGGGAGCAAGAGCCCGGAGAUGGAUUCUGAGACAUGAAUCCAGGCCCUACGGAGCGCAGCAGUGCGCGAAAACUUUACAAUGCGGGGAGCCGCGAUAAGGGGACACCGAGUGCCAGCAUCCUAUGUUGGCUGUCCAUAUGUCUAAAUCACAUGUGUUAGCAAGGCCCGGGCAAGACCGGUGCCAGCCGCCGCGGGAAACACCGGCGGGCCCGAGUGGUGGCCACUAUUAUUGGGUCUAAAGGGUCCGUAAGCCGGUUUGGUCAGUCUUCCGGGAAAUCUGACGGCUCAACCGUUAGGCUUUCGGGGGAUACUACCAGGCUUGGGACCGGGAGAGGUAAGAGGUACUACGGGGGUAGGAGUGAAAUCUUGUAAUCCCUGUGGGACCACCAGUGGCGAAGGCGUCUUACCAGAACGGGUCUGACGGUGAGGGACGAAAGCUGGGGGCACGAAUCGGAUUAGAUACCCGGGUAGUCCCAGCUGUAAACUAUGCUCGCUAGGUGUCAGGGACGGUGCGACCGUUUCUGGUGCCGCAGGGAAGCCGUGAAGCGAGCCACCUGGGAAGUACGGUCGCAAGGCUGAACUUA